rnacentral:lncRNA from 1 species
UCAAUUCACUUUCUCACUUUUGUACUUUUUUUUCUCUUUUAUUUCUCUCCCAAAUUUUCUUUUGGAUACAAUAUUUUAAUGUUUCUUUUUUAUUUUUAGCAAUUCUUUUAUGAUAAAAUAUCUGAUUUUCUAUUUUUGCACUUUAGUAUCUUAUUAUUUAAAAUAUAACACUUUAAUAUUCUAUAAUCUUUUUUUUUUCGCCAUUAACUCUUUGCUAAAUCAUAUAUAAAACUUCAGAUAUUUUCUACCAUUGGUAGAAAAUAUCUGAUUUUCUAUUUUUUCACUUUAGUAUCUUAUUAUUUAAAAUAUAACACUUUAAUAUUCUAUAAUCUUUUUUUUUUCGCCAUUAACUCUUUGCUAAAUCAUAUAUAAAACUUCAGAUAUUUUCUACCAAUGGUUAAUCAAAUAUUCAUUUUAAUGCCCUGUAGUUUACUAAAUUUUACUUCAGUAUUAUGUAAUUGUAUCUUUAUCACUGAUUAAACAGAAAAAUUAUCGGAGGGAAUAAUUAAAAAAAAGAAAUGAAACCACUUGUUACUAAAGUGAUAUAUUUUAAAUCACGGGAUACUAAAGUGACAAAGCACGAAACCGCAGGGUGGUAUUUGAAGUUUUUUUUUUCUUCAUUGUUGAUGUAUAAAGUAGACGAUUCUGAAUUUCGAUACUGUUAGCUUAAAUAGACCAGCAUCCUACCCUGUGGUGGGAGGCUAUAUGGGCCGAGUCAUGUUCGAAAUAGCGUGAGGCUGUGUUGGACCGAGUCAUGUUCGAAAUAGCGUGAGGCCAGGUGGGCCGAGUCACAAUCGAGACCCGUGGGCGCUGUUUCUGUACGCUUUAAGUGAAUUGGUUGCGUAUUUCUAACAGCUCGAGCUUUUGGGAUUAAUGGUUAGCGCCAACGAUCCGACAAGUGGUAUCAGAGCCAGAGGUCACGGGUUCGAUUCCUGCAUGCUGCAAAUGUGUGCAGGUGCUGGAGGGGGGACUGUUGGCUUAAAUGGGCCAGCAUCCUGCCCUGUGGCGGGAGGCCAUGUGGGCCGAGUCAUGUUCGAAAUGGCGUGAGGCUGGGUUGGGCCGAGUCAUGUUCGAAGUGGCGUGAGGCCAGGUGGGCCGAGUCACAAUCGAGACCCGUGGGCGCUGUUUCUAUACACUUUAAGUGAAUUGGUUGCGUAUUUCUAACAGCUCGAGCUUUUGGGAUUAAUGGUUAGCGCCAACGAUCCGACAGAUACACCAGCGCGAAUCUUAAAGCAUAGCGCGCAAUCUCGAUGCACGAUG